rnacentral:rRNA from 1 species
UGGGGAAUAUUGCACAAUGGGCGCAAGCCUGAUGCAGCGACGCCGCGUGCGGGAUGGAGGCCUUCGGGUUGUAAACCGCUUUUGUUCAAGGGCAAGGCACGGCUUCGGGCCGUUGUUGAGUGGAUUGUUCGAAUAAGCACCGGCUAACUACGUGCC